rnacentral:rRNA from 1 species
GACGAACGCUGGCGGCGUGCUUAACACAUGCAAGUCGAACGCUGAAGCUUGGUGCUUGCACUGGGUGGAUUAGUGGCGAACGGGUGAGUAAUACGUGAGUAACCUGCCCUUGACUCUGGGAUAAGCCUGGGAAACUGGGUCUAAUACCGGAUAUGACAUGCCACUGCAUGGUGGUGUGUUGAAAGGGGUUUACUGGUUUUGGAUGGGCUCACGGCCUAUCAGCUUGUUGGUGUGGUAAUGGCAUACCAAGGCGACGAGAGGUAGCCGGCCUGAGAGGGUGAACGGCCACCAUGGGACUGAGACACGGCGCAGACUCCUACGUGAGGCAGCAGUGGGGAAUAUUGCACAAUGGGCGGAAGCCUGAGGCAGAGACGCCGCGUGCGGGAUGACGGCCUUCGGGUUGUAAACCUCUUUCAGCACGGAAGAAGCGAGAGUGACGGUACGUGCAGAAGAAGCGCCGGCUAACUACGUG